rnacentral:misc_RNA from 1 species
GUCGAGCUGCUGAGCAGGUGAUUCCUCCCAUCCCCUACCCCUCUUAUCUUUCUAUCUCUUCAGGAAUGGGCAAGUUAGUACUUGUGUGGAAGCUGGAAAUCAUAAUCUUUCAGUGUGAGCUCUAAGCUCUUAUAUAAUAUUUUGGAUGUUAGUAUAAAAUGUAUACUGGGUUAGAUUUGAGGACUAAAGUUGGAGGCUGACGCCUUGUGGAUUAAUUGUUUGAAUUUGGAAGUUCAAAAUCUCAAUAUGUCUUGACAAGUUCUUAAUUUCAUGAAUUUGAUUCUGAGAUGCAUUAGCUUUCUGGAUUAAAGAAAAUAAUCGCGCUAGUUUAAUCUUUUUAAACAUGUAUUUAAUGCUAUAAACUCAUCUAAAUGUUGUUGUCUUGCUUAUGCAACAACUUGUAUAUUUUGAUAACAUUUAUUGUGAUAAUACUUCUUUUGAACUGUAAUUAUUGUACUUGAGAGAUAUAGCCAUACACGCAUGCUCCCUAACCUAGCAACAAUUGGUUAAGCCAAGACAUAGGGAAAAAUCUGCCUAGUUAAGAAAGAGAAAAGCCAAGAUACAUUCAUUUGGUCCUUCUACUUGAUAUUGAGGAAGUUAAGUAAUGUGGGCCUUGGGUGCCCAUACUCCUCGGUAUUAAAAUGGUAGUUUCCCCAUAAGCUCUAGAAACAUGCUUAUGGAAAAGCUGCAUCUUGAGGCCUUGGACUCUGCGAAACUAAGACACCUCACAAAACCAAACUGGUUCAUCGUACAUUAGCUUCAAAUAUAUUAGGUUUGGGUUGUUAAGUUGUCUUUGGCAAAUGUUUUUUCAAACUAUCAAUAACUUCUUAUAGGUUUUGAUAAUUCAACAGGUGAAUAAUCCAUGCUAAAUAAUUUGUUGGUAAGUUUAAUGGAUAAUAAUGAAUGAAUGGUUGGACUGCGUUAAAGUAGUGUCAAAAUUGGGUUAGUGUUAUUAAAUGCGAUAAAAGGCGCUAGGCGAGGCGCUAGCUGAGGCGAGGCAACUUGAA